AUAGUGUGGAUUUGACUUGUAU
rnacentral:siRNA from 1 species